UUAUGCUUAUAAAACCGAACCCAACCCAACCCAACCCGCCACUAUUAAUUUUUUGUUUACCGCCAUUUCACUUCUCAGUCUCAGUCUCAGUCUCUGUUCUUCAUCUUCUUGUUUGUGUUUCUCUGAUUUAUUUUAUUUUUCUCUCCGAGUCUUUGAUUCAUCUGUGUUUUAAUAUGUUUUUCUCCGAGUCUACGUGUGUUCGUAUUUGUGAGUGUAAUUUUGUGCCUAGUUGUAUUUUUGAUUUUAAUUUUCCCUCCGAGUCUUGUGCUUCUGUCUCAGUAAUUGUUUGUGUUUCUCUGAUUUAUGGAUAUAUCUGUGUUUGUUUACUCCGCUUUUAUAUUUUCAUUUCAUUUUUCUCUCUGAGUCUUUGAUUCUUUUUUUUCCUAUGUGUUAGGGCUUCAUCUAUGUGUGUUUGUAUUUGUGUAUAUAUUUAUGAGUGUAAUUUUGUGUCUCUGUAUUUGUGUUUGGAUUUGUGAGUGUAAUUUUGUGUCUCAGUAUUUGUGAGUGUAAUUUAGUUUGUGAUUGUGUGUUUGUGAUUUUGUGUCUGUAUGAUGAGUGCGAAGGUUGUUCGUGUUAGUCAUUUUUGUUUUUAAUUUUUUUACAUGUGUGUGAAUUUUUAGUUUCUUUGGGUGUUCGUUUUUGUAUUUUUGUGUCUCAGUGUUUGUUGUCUAUAUUUGUGAAUGAUUUUGCCGUGAGUAAUUUUUCUUUUUCUUUUUCUUUUCUCUUUUGAGUGGGUUUGUGUGCCUAGUUGUGUUUUUGCUUUUUUUUCUGUGUUCGUGAACGUUCAAUUCUUCUGGGAUUGUUUUUAUGAGCUUUGGGUAUUUAGUAAGAAUAGUAUUGGAAUGAUGAGUGACCAAACGUCCUGAGUGUGGUGGUUGAAAGGAUUGAUGAUAAAGACUAGGAGAAGAAGAAAAAUAAGCGCCGAUCUAAGCAAGAAUCUCCUAGUUUAGUGAAUGGAGGACGAGAGUUGUCACAGUCAUGUGGAAAUGGAGGCAAUAAAACAAAGAAUUAUAUAUUUAUGAGUGCAACUUCUCAUCUAGGCAGCCAGAUUUUGACGAUUUCAGUUCCCUGCCAGCUAUGCAUAUAAAUGGCCAUGUUGAACACCUCAUCUCAGGUUAUUGUUGAAAGGUGAUGUGUUUAAAACAGUUUUCCGUGUUAAUGCUCACAAGAGAAAUGAGGCAUACUGUAAAAUUGAGGUUGUAUCUACAGAUGUGUUCGUUAGUGGACUUGCUGCACAAAACAGAGCUGUGGAAGGGGACGUAGUGGUUAUCUAGGUUGAUCCAUUGGUAGGCUGGAAUACGAUGAAAGGGUCAAAUGGUCUAUCCGAUAAUAGGUCACUCGCAGAAGCUUGCAGUGCAGCAGCAAAAUCCAGUGAAAUAGCUAGUGGAAGCUGCAAGGGUAUAAAGUGGACAUUGACAAUGAGUAUAGUGGCUCUGGAAGUUCCUCUGUUCAGAAGGGAAAUCAUUAUGAGGAUUGUUCAUUACCUUAUAAAACCAAACCCGCCACUAUUAUUUUUUUUGUUUACCCGCCAUUUCAUUUCUCAGUCUCAGUCUCUAUUUUUGAUCUUCUUGUUUGUGUUUCUCUGAUUUAUGGAUUUUUCUAUAUAUCUGUGUUUGUUUGCUCUGUUUUUUAUAUUUUGAUUUUGUUUUCCUCUCUGAGUGUUUUUCUAUGUGUUUGUGCUUCUUCUAUGUUCUCAAUGUGUGUAUGUAUUUGUGAGUGUAAUUUUGUGAUUUUGUUACUUUAGUUUGUGGUUGUUUUUCUUUAGGUCAUUAACUUUUGUAAUUUUGUGUAUUUUGUGACUUUUAGUUUGAUCUGUUUUCAUAUUUUGAUUUCGUUGUUUUCUCUGAUUGUAUUUUACGUUUCUUUGAUUCUGUGUUUUUCUAUGUGUUUGUGCUUUUCUAUGUUCUCAAUGUGUGUUUGUAUUUGUGUAUAUCUUUGUGAGUGUAAUUUCAUGUCUCUGUGUUUAUGAUUUUCAGAUUUUGUGUAUUUUGGUUUGUGGGUGUCUUAUUUGUAAGUGUAUUUGUGUGCGAAUAAUUUUUGCUUCUAGGUAGGUAUUGUUUUUUUGUCUAGUUUUGUCUUGGUGUUUGUGAUUUUGUGUCUUCAGUUUGUUGGUAUCUUCUUUUUAAGUGUAUUUCUGUGAAUGAUUUUUGUUCCUGAUUUUCUGUCUUUUAGUAUGUUCAUUACCUUAUGCAUAGCAAGGAGAAUGAAAGAAACCCGCUUGCUUCCAUGGCUGUAUUUUAUUCUCAGUACAUCCAACGGGGUAUUUGUAGAGUUGAUAUGCCAGCACGUCUAAACACUUGCAUAGUGAUGUAUUUUUUCUUGAUUUAUUUUUGUAUAGUUGUCCUAAUGGCACGACUUUGCUAUUUAUUCUACAUUUCAGGUUGACCCUGUUUCAGGAUGAAAAUUUUAUUGUCUCCUCUCUGCCCUUGCUGAUGGGUCUUGAUAGUGGGAUUGAGAGUUUCAAAUUUAUCUCUGUGCGAUACUAGUUCAUUACGUACUGCAAAGAAAGAAAGCUCUUAAGGACAUGACUGCUUAUCUUACAAAGGAAAUCUUGUUUUUAUUUACUAAUUCUUGAUGCUGGUCAUGAUGGGAUGCAUGUGGUUUCACAAAGCAAUUUGAGGGACCUGUUGCUGCAAUGUUCCGCAGACGAUGCUUCUGAUGAUCGACAAAGUGCUUUUGCACUGCUUGGCGACCUUGCAAGGGUGUAUGUCACUGGCAGAACUCAAGCGUGGUGUAUGUUUGCGCCCUCAAUUGGCCAUAUUUCUUGAUGUUGCAGCCAAACAACUGAGCACACUUAAGCUCAAGGGAACUGUAUCUGUUACAAACAAUGCUUGUUGUGCUACUGGUGAAAUUAGCAGUCAAGGUUCAUCAAGAAGUUUUUCUCAAUUGUUAUGACUCUUAUAUCAAGUUUAGUAUCAAUCCUUCAACACCCAGAGGACCUCAACAAAUCACUAAAUAGAAAAUAGUGCAUUCACUUUUGGGAGGCUUGUAUUGGUGUCCUGAGAUUACAUCACCUCAUAUGGAGCAUUUCAUACAAUCAUAGUGUAUGCUUUGUCUACGAUUCGUGAUGAUAUUGAAUAGGAGGAUGAUAUUCUUAAGUUGAAAUUCUUAAGUUGCUUGGUGCAUUAUGUGUUCACAAAGAUCGAUAAAUCAGGAAUCUACCAACUGUUUGGAGAUAUGUGGGAGAUUGAAAAUGGGUUUGCCUGUAUCUAUAACUUUGAGAUUUAAUUAUUUUUUUGAUUUUUGAUUAUUGGGUAUUGGGUAUUGUGUCUCUACUUGUUUUUGUUUAAUGGUUAUAUGACUUUCCAGGAUUCCAUUAUAUGGUGGAGCAAUAUAAAAAAGUAGGUUUCUUCUUAAGAACAGUAUUUUCCAUCUCAGUUGAUCAUGUGAAGAAUGGUAUAUACUUGUUAAGUUGGAUCUUGAAUCGGAUGAUAUACGAGAUCAUCUUGCAAAAUUUGCCGAGUCUUUAAAUAAAGCAAGAACUGUGAAAUAAUCUCCAGUAAAUAAAUCAUCAAAAUUUGGUAAUAUUUUACCUGGAUUAGGGGAGAUUGUGGAUAAAGAACAUAAGAAAUUUCUUGCUGGUAAUUAUUGACAAGAGGUAGGAAGAACAAGAACGCCAAUUACUGGAAAUGGAUCGGGAGGAGUUGUCAAAGAGGCGGAGCAAAAGAGGCAUGCUUUUGAACUUGAGCAAAGGAAGACGAAGCAAAAUCCUUUAAGAAAUAAAGCAGUGAGAGAGAAAUAUUAUAGGCAUUGCUAGAGGGAAGAAGAGGCAUCUUCACUGAUUGAUACUGCCUUUCAACGUCGAUUAGUGGAAAAGACAUGAACUUGAGCAGCAACUAGAGAAUGAACUGAGACAAUGUCAUGAUGGGGACCUCAAAAAGAAGAAUAAGGUGUCUCAGAUGCUUGACAAUAGGAUAAUUUUCCAAGAAAGAGUGGUAGGAUAGUUCAGAAAGAAUAAAUUAGAUCAUCCCGGAAGUAAGACAGGGAGUCAAGAGAGAGAAUUUAUUAUGAGAAGUGUGAAGAGGAGACUCAGAAACUUGCAUAGGGGGAAUCCGGGAAGCAUGAAGAGGCUGAGAGAUUAAGGAAUGUAGAAGCAGAACACACAGAAAAAUUAGAAGCAAAGAGAGGGAGUUAUAGAUUGAGAAGAAAAAAGGAGAUUAACUGAUGCCCCUUCUAGGCCUUUAGAUCUUCAUGCUCUGUCAUUUUCACAUAGAAGAUAAGUCAGUUUGUCAUUUCCAUUUUUAAAACAAUAGUUUAAGUUAUGUUCUUAAUUAAGCAUUAGUAAUCAGGUAUUUCUAACUCGCGUGUGCUCUUUACUUGGUGUAGAAUGGGCACUAUAUGAAUAGGUGGUAAUUGCAGCUAUGGACUGCCAAUCUCUUGAUGUUGCAAAGUUAUUACAUUCAAUUGCUUUAACAAGUGUCUUCAGAAGCAGAAUUACCCUUUGAGUCUUGGUCAGAUAAAGCUGUUGUUGAACCAUCCUUUUAUGAUCAUGCAAUCCCAAGCAAAGAGUGCCUCUUGCCACAUCAUGGAGUGUUCAGCUUCCAAGAUAUGAAAUGUUCAUAUUUAUUUUUCACAAACUUGUCAGAUUCGUAUAUGCUGCUUUGCAAAGACUUCUAGAAUUGACACCUAUAUGAAGCAGCUGCAAUUCAGAUCCUAAGUUUUAUGUUCAGUAUCAGGCAACCAAGAGGACCAGAUAGAGGACUCCUGGCUUCUUGCUCUCCUGUGGCUCAAGGUUGGUGGGUCAGGUGGCGAGGACCCAGAAAUUGUUUUAUGUUAGGUCUGUUUUGGAUUCUUUGGAAACAAAGAGUUUCUGAUGUGAUUCUCAAUGGGUUGUUUCCACUAGAACCAGAGCAUAAUAGAGGACCAAAACUAAAAGUGACUAUUAUUGGAGGUGGUCUUAUCGGGAUGUCAACUGCAGUGGAGCUAUUGGAUCAAGGUCGUGAGAACUCCAGAGGUAGUGUGGAACAUGGGAUUUUGUGUCUUUUUUUAUUGCUACAAUAAUCUUUUCCGGUUUUGAAGAAGGUGGGUGCAGAUAAGAAUUUACUUGCGAAGGAACACACUCACACAUUUGUGAAUAAGAGCUUGAUUUUCGUUUUCCAAUAGGAGCUCCAUUACAUGUGAUCCAUCCUUUUCCAACUACAAAUCAGCUUAAGUUUGUAGUUCCUUGUCCACUGCAAUACUCACGGUUCCUUUCUCUUGAAUGCCGUUCAAGUGCAGACAUGAUAGAGCAAGAAAUGUUUUGGCUCUUGCGUUAAGCCCAGUUGUAAAGGCCCUAGUUGAUCCAGAUGGAGCAUUGAAGGACUAUACGGGAUUUAGAUCGCACAUAUGAUAAAGCAAGAAAUGCUUUGGCUCUUGCGUUAAGCCCAGUUGUAAAGGCCCUAGUUGAUCCAGAUGGAGCAUUGAAGGACUAUACGGGAUUUAGAUUGCAUCAGCUUCUCCGACUGGUUUUUGUGUAAAGAUGGUACACGUGCUAGUAUUCAGAGAAUAGGCCUCUUUACUACGCAUGCUCAAGGGUUCUCCAGAUGUAUAUCUGAGCGGUCCCAUUAGAAAAUAUAUUGAAGAUAAAGGAGGCAGGU